AAGAACCUUACCAGGUCUUGACAUCCCCUGACAACCCUGGAGACAGGGCGUUCCCCCUUCGGGGGGACAGGGUGACAGGUGGUGCACGGUUGUCGUCAGCUCGUGUCGUGAGAUGUUGGGUUAAGUCCCGCAACGAGCGCAACCCUCGCCCCUAGUUGCCAGCAUUCAGUUGGGCACUCUAGGGGGACUGCCGGUGACAAACCGGAGGAAGGUGGGGAUGACGUCAAAUCAUCAUGCCCCUUAUGACCUGGGCUACACACGUGCUACAAUGGGCGGUACAAAGGGCUGCGAACCCGCGAGGGGGAGCGAAUCCCAAAAAGCCGCUCUCAGUUCGGAUUGCAGGCUGCAACUCGCCUGCAUGAAGCCGGAAUCGCUAGUAAUCGCGGAUCAGCAUGCCGCGGUGAAUACGUUCCCGGGCCUUGUACACACCGCCCGUCACACCACGAGAGCUUGCAACACCCGAAGUCGGUGAGGUAACCCGUAA
rnacentral:rRNA from 1 species